rnacentral:ncRNA from 17 species
CAAAACCGAUAGGUAUUCGGCUCUGGGCCAGCUCGAUUAAAAGGGAAUCCGGUUCGAGUCCGGAACAGCCGCCAUUACUGUAUUUGACACAACGGGAGUCCAUUUUGCCAUUGGUGCGGCCUGUCCUUCGGCGGGCGCAUCGAGAAGGCGGGCUUUCCGGUCAUAAGUCAGGAGACCUGCCGUGCUUUUUAGGUUUACA